UAGAUAAUGAAGUUCUAGAGGACACCUGUAAAAUCGAAAUUAAGGAUGAACCUAUCAGGGAAAGUACAAAUGAUACAUUUGAUUUUUUAGAGGUUAAUAUAUGUUCUAUAAAAGCUGAAAUCAAACAAGAUGAUGAGCCAUAAAAAGAAAACACGUAUAUCAGGUGAUUUCUUGAUUUAUUGUGAAGACCAUGUAUAUACUCACACCAAAAGGUAGACGAGUUCUGGAUUAAGUAAUAAUGUCCAGAGGAAGCUUAAUGUUAAACCUUGCCCUCAAAGGGAAAACAGUUAACGCAGAUCGUGUUCGUAGCAGUUCUAAAUACAUUCCAGUUAACAAAAAGUUUACUCAAGACGAAGAAAAUCAAUCCUACUAUGUAGGGCUAAAAAAAAAUAAUGAGUGCGCCUGUAUUCUUCAGGCAAGAGUGGACUCUAAACAAAGUACAAACUGACAUAAUUAAGAAAUAAUUAAAAGACUGGGAUAAUUAAGACAUUUUUUUAUUAUAGCAUUGAGUUUGUUAUUUUUAAAAGUCAAUGAUUUUAUUGUUUCAAAAAUCAAUAUAUAAUUUCAUGGUUUAAUGUUAAUUUUGUAAAAUAUGUCAAUAAACUAAAUAAAUAA
rnacentral:misc_RNA from 1 species